GGUAUCCGAAGCGUAAAAAGUUCCACGGCCUCAAAAUCCCAUAUAAACUUACAUUCUACACUUACUUAACCCAGACUAAAAAAAUUAAAAAAAGAAAACAUGGGAGAGGAAGAAAACUUACACAAGUGAAACGAGUAAACUGAAAUAGUAAAAGCCAUUUAUUUCGCAAAACUUGAAUUGCUGAAUCUAAUAGGUAUAAUCCGUACCAUCGGAAUCAACUUAAAAGAUUGAGCAAUGUACAGCAAAUUUAUGUGUAUAUAUGUGCGCAUAUGGCUGCAUGAAUAGUUUAGAAACAACAUGCGCAAAGAAAGCACAUAGCAAAGAGGAAAAGGUAUAAAGACUUGAAAAAACAGCAUGUUAUGCUAGUCAAAUCAUUACAAACAAAAUCAAAGAAAACAUAACGCAAACACUUCAGUGGCAUAGUCGAUCACACAAUAAUAUCCAAAGUGAUAUAAUGGAAAGCAAUUAAAUACGAAAAAAAAAAUCCUUAAAUACAAAGAUGGAGAUUUUUUAAAAUUAAGACUACCCAAACCAACUUAUGGAAACUAAUGAGUGAUUUGAAAAGAAAAAGACUGGAAUACAAAACAGCAAAAUAAUGAACGAUCGAUUGUUAGAUCAACAAUUCGGCUUUAUUGUCGAAUAAUUAAACAUCAAUAAUCCAAUUUCAAACAAAUAGCCCAGCAACACUCAUUCACUCACUCAAAUCAUCAUCAUCAUCAUCAUCAUCGACACCGUCAUGUCGCUAAAAGGUGAAUUUUUCAACAUACAAAAAUAAAAGACGGAAAUCAAACAUAUGCCCAAUGCUUCCAGGUAAACCCUAGUGGAACAGUUUGCCAAAAGACUUUUUCAUACGUUUGAACCAAGACUUCUUGGGAGCUGCUUCACCAUCAGUGGCGGUUUGUGCCUUUCCAUCAGCCGUCUCAUUCUCAGCUGUCGCAGUGGCACCAGCAGCAGGAGCUGGCUUGGUAGUGCCGGCAGCAUGUUCCUCAGUAGCAGAAACAGGAGUAGGUUUGGUGGUGGCAGAACCAGGAGUAGGUUUGGUGGUGGCAGAACCAGGAGAAGGUAUGGUGGUAGCAGAACCAGAACCAGCAGCAUGUUUAGACUCGACGGUAUCAGCAGAAGUCGGGAUAGGAGCAGCAGCUUCAAUAGCGGACUUCUUUCCUCCUGGUACAGCAGCCGACGUAGUACCGGGACUGGAGGGAGCAGAUGCUUGUUUUGAAGGUCUACGUGCAUGCUUGGAGGACUGGGCUGAUUUGGCAGGCGUGGAAGGAGUCGUUGGCUCUUGUCCAGUAGAAGAGGGUUUCCUGGCAACCUUAUGUUUCUCGGCGGACGCCUUGUCAUGUUUUGACACCCUUUUGGAAGCAGUGGUGGUUUCCUUGGAGAAAUCAUGAGCAGUCUCGGUAGGGGCAGUGACAGCUUCUUGCACUGGGUGUUCUGCAGUGGUACCUCCAACGGCCACUGGGUUUUCAGACUCGGUGGGAAUGGUCGAGGGGACAUUUACCUCGUUCUUGACAGUGGAAGAGACACCCUUGCCAACAUCGGUCACAGUUUCAGUAGCUUCUUGGACAACGGAAGACUCGUAUUGCUCAGGUUGCUGAGCACGGACGGGUUGUUCAGCAAAUCUCGCGAUUUCAACCGUUUCGGCGGUGGGAUGAGGAAGGUCCUCCUGUACAGUUUGUUGCACCUCUUCAAAUGCUCCCGGAAUGCCACUAGCACUAGCUCUAGCACUGGUUGUUGCCUCAUGCGUCACACCUCCCUGGCCAAGGGCGAUGGGCGAUUCUUCUUCCACCGUUACUGUGGUGGUAUGGGGGAUGACAUCUGCAUGUGGAAUGUCGCUCGCAUCCUCGAAAACCGUCUCUUGCUGAACGUUUUCACCAAUGCUUUCAAGUACGUUAUCAUUCAUAAUUCCAUCGGCCACUGCAUGUGACUCAGCAGUGGCAGUAGUAGAGGCAGAGGCAACUGCUGCUGUUGUCGUAGCUGCUGCCUGAUCAUGCGUAGUAUUUAUUUCUUUCGAUAUCAUAAUAGCUUCAGGCUCAAUGGGCUUCAAUUCUGGAAUUUCUUUCUCAGCGGUAGUAAUGGGUUGUGAAGUAGCUUUCGCCAUGUUUUCCUCUACUUUCGAAGAAGGUUGCGCAGCAGAUGUCGUUGCUGGCUUAGACGUAAUCGAAGCUGGGGAAUUACCGAGUUGCUCGUCAUUGCGCUGGGGUGCGAAAUGUUCGGCUACGACGUAAUCAGCGGAUUGUGUGGUUGCAGUAGACUUUGUAGAAGCGGAUGAGGAGGAGGAGGAAGGGGAAUUGGCGGGUUCGGUAAUACUUGUAUUGCGUGCUUCCGUAGUUGGCACUGCUGUUGACGUGGAGGCAGAGGGUUUGUUGUCAGUAGGCGGCUCUACAGUACCCAGAGCUGAGGAUGCUAUGGGUUCCAAAGGCUCGUCAACCUGAUCAGCGUCUUUCUCCACUAUAGUUUGUGUAAAUCCUGGCUCUUGUAAUAUGGUUUGUUCUUGUUGUUCCUCUUGCGCGUGCUGAGCUUCUUCCACAGGUGUGGAAGAGGCAGAUGCUGCUGCUGACUGCUUCUUCUUUUUUGCAGCCUUCUUUUUGGCGCGUUUAGCGGCCUUCUUCUUGUUAUCCUUGGUGACGGACGCCUGGGAAGAAUUGUUAUUCUGCUCGACCGCGUUGGUACUUUUCGAAUCCAGCUUCUCCUGGACUCUCGACGUUACUUGGUGAAUUUCAUUUUUCGUCUGUUUAACAAUAUCGGGAUUCGUGGUCAUAUUCAACUCAAUUUUUGUUCUACUUUUACACGCUCUGCGUUCUUGUUUGGUGGUUGGUAGAAGUUGUAAAUCUUGGCGUAACUAGAAUUUAUACGAAACCCUGUUAUGUGAGUGAAAAAAUGCAUAUGUAAACAAAGUUAAUUCAGACGAAAGUAAGACACAAAACAAAACAUUUCUUUACCAAAACAUUGCUUCGCUGAUCAUCUUCUUAAUAUUACAAUUUAUCUCGAGUGCUUAACUUUAUUCUGCAGUAAUUGUCAUUUCUACCCGUUGUGCUUGUUGUGAAUAACCUACCCUACUAAGAACAUUCACAGUAAAUAUGUAGUAUGGAAUAUGGGGAAAAAAAUUUUUCUUGUUUAAGAAAACCUUACGCAUAGUUCGCAACU